UUUCCCCGAGUAGCAGCGGGCUCGUGGAAUCUGCUGUGAAUCUGCCGGGACCACCCGGUAAGCCUAAAUACUCAGUGUGACCGAUAGUGGAUAGUACCGUGAGGGAAUGGUGAAAAGUACCCCGGGAGGGGAGUGAAAGAGUUCCUGAAACCGGUCGCAUGCAAGCCGUCAGAGCCUGUGUGGUGAUGGCGUGCCUUUUGAAGAAUGAGCCUGCGAGUCAGCGGCAUGUCGCGAGGUUAACCCGUGUGGGGUAGCCGUAGCGAAAGCGAGUCCGAACAGGGCGCCGAAGUCGCACGAUCUAGACCCGAAGCCGAGUGAUCUACCCAUGGCCAGGUUGAAGCGCGGGUAAGACCGCGUGGAGGACCGAACCCACUUAGGUUAAAAACUGAGGGGAUGAGCUGUGGGUAGGGGUGAAAGGCCAAUCAAACUCGGUGAUAGCUGGUUCUCCCCGAAAGCUAUUUAGGUAGCGCCUCAAGUAUUACCAUCGGGGGUAGAGCACUGUUAUGGCUAGGGGGUCAUUGCGACUUACCAAACCAUUGCAAACUCCGAAUACCGAUGAGUGAUAUCCGGGAGACAGACGGCGGGUGCUAACGUCCGUCGUCAAGAGGGAAACAACCCAGACCGCCAGCUAAGGCCCC
rnacentral:rRNA from 14 species